AGGUCACUGCUAUUGGGAUUCGACUAAGCCAUGCGAGUCGAGAGGGUUCGGCCCUCGGCUGACUGCUCAGUAACACGUGGAUAAUUUGCCCUAAGGUGGAGGAUAACCUCGGGAAACUGAGAAUAAUACUCCAUAGGUCUAAGAUACUGGAAUGUUCUUAGGCUGAAAACUCCGGUGCCUUAGGAUAAGUCUGCGGACUAUCAGGUUGUAGUCAGGGUAAAGACCUGACUAGCCUAUGACGGAUAUGGGUUGUGGGAGCAAUAACCCAGAGAUGAUAUCUGAGACACGAUACCAGGCCCUACGGGGCGCAGCAGGCGCGAAAACUUCACACUGCGCGAAAGCGCGAUGAGGGAAUCCCAAGUGCUUGCACGUAAGUGUAAGCUGUUUCUUUGUUUAAAAAGCAUAGAGAGUAAGGGCUGGGUAAGACGGGUGCCAGCCGCCGCGGUAAUACCUGCAGCUCGAGUGGUGAUCGUUAUUGUUGGGCCUAAAACGUCCGUAGCCGGUUUGGUAAAUGCCUGGGUAAAUCGUGCCGCUCAACGGUACGACUUCCGGGUAGACUGCUAAACUUGAGACCGGGAGAGGCUAGAGGUACUCCUGGGGUAGAGGUGAAAUUCUGUAAUCCUAGGGGGACCACCAGUGGCGAAGGCGUCUAGCUAGAACGGUCUACGGUGAGGGACGAAGCCCUGGGGCGCAAACCGGAUUAGAUACCCGGGUAGUCCAGGGUGUAAACGCUGCUUGCUUGAUGCUAGUCGGGCUCCGAGCCCGAUUAGUGUCGGAGAGAAGUUGUUAAGCAAGCUGCCUGGGAAGUACGGUCGCGGGACUGAAACUUAAAGGAAUUGGCGGGGGAGCACAGCAACAGGUGGAGCGUGCGGUUUAAUAGGAUUCAACGCCGGAAAACUCACCGGAGGCGACGGUUACAUGAAGGCCAGGCUGAUGACCUUGCCUGAUUUUCCGAGAGGUGGUGCAUGGCCGCCGUCAGUUCGUACCGUAAGGCGUUCUGUUAAGUCAGAUAACGAACGAGACCCUCAUCUUUAAUUGCUACUAGUAAGUCCGCUUACUGGGCACAUUAGAGAGACCGCUGGCGAUAAGUCAGAGGAAGGCGGGGGCAACGGUAGGUCAGUAUGCCCUGAAUCCUCCGGGCUACACGCGCGCUACAAAGGCUAGGACAAUGAGUUUCACA
rnacentral:rRNA from 1 species